rnacentral:misc_RNA from 1 species
UCGCUACUUGCGUAGGCAGUCCACUUAGAGUGCCCAGCUUGACCUGAUGGCAACUAAGUGCAGGGGUUGCGCUCGUUGCAGGACUUAACCUAACACCUCACGACACGAGCUGACGACAGCCAUGCAGCACCUGUGCUCUAGGCUCCGAAGAGAAGGUCACAUCUCUGCGACCGGUCCUAGACAUGUCAAGGGCUGGUAAGGUUCUGCGCGUUGCGUCGAAUUAAACCACAUGCUCCACCGCUUGUGCGGGCCCCCGUCAAUUCCUUUGAGUUUCAACCUUGCGGCCGUACUCCCCAGGCGGGAUGCUUAAUGCGUUAGCUGCGCCACUGAUAAGCAUGCUUACCAACGGCUAGCAUCCAUCGUUUACGGCGUGGACUAC